rnacentral:rRNA from 1 species
GAUGAACGCUGGCGGCGUGCCUAAUACAUGCAAGUCGAGCGAACGGACGAGAAGCUUGCUUCUCUGAUGUUAGCGGCGGACGGGUGAGUAACACGUGGAUAACCUACCUAUAAGACUGGGAUAACUUCGGGAAACCGUAGCUAAUACCGGAUAAUAUUUUGAACCGCAUGGGUCAAAAGUGAAAGACGGUCUUGCUGUCACUUAUAGAUGGAUCCGCGCUGCAUUAGCUAGUUGGUAAGGUAACGGCUUACCAAGGCAACGAUGCAUAGCCGACCGGAGAGGGUGGUAGGCCACACUGGAACUGAGACACGGUCCAGACUACUACGGGAGGCAGCAGUAGGGAAUCUUCCGCAAUGGGCGAAAGCCUGACGGAGCAACGCCGCGUGAGUGAUGAAGGUCUUCGGAUCGUAAAACUCUGUUAUUAGGGAAGAACAUAUGUGUAAGUAACUGUGCACAUCUUGACGGUACCUAAUCAGAAAGCCACGGCUAACUACGUG